UAUGCUUCUUUCUUCUAUAUUGUCACUGAUCUUUGUUUGUGUUUGUUUGUAGAAGAAGAAAACAGAGAAGAGAGAAAGAAGAGAACACAGAGAUUUACAAGUUCCCAAAGCCAAUGUGGCUAAGGUACGUCUUGGUGAGCUUACUGACCAGCUCACAAGCUUCUUAUUAAGCGUUUAAACCAGAGUACAAGAAACCAGGAAGAUACAAAACCAAGAGAGAUUCAGCUACCGAGCUAAAGGAGAAAGAUAAGUUCUUGCCUUUACUCUUAACACUCUCUAGAUCUAACCUGCUUGAUACUCACGCUCUCUCUCUGUCAUUAUGCCCUCUGCUAACCCUUUAUAUACCUCAUGCUUUAUUACUCACGCUCUCUCUGCUUUAUUACUCUGUGCAGGUGAAGACAAAGAGCAGAGAGAUGACUGAGCGCGUGGAGAGAACCGAAGACAGUUUUUCCUCUUGGGCCUGAACAAGAUUAACUUAGGCGCAGUAGCUGUUUCUAGUCCACUUUGUUGUAACUGGAUCGUAGUCUCACAUCAAGCAUGUGAAAGUUCUUGACUCUUGAUCAUAUUUACCAAGAAGGAAACUCUAUAUAUGGUUUGAAUCAGCAGUUUAGUGGUUAUCAUCUCCGUAAACAUGGAGUCAUCUUCCUUUAGGGUGGAUGAUUCUGACUCAGAAAUGAGUUUCCAAGUAGUGACGACACAGUUGAACACCAAAACUGGUAUAAAAGAGAGAUUUUACUUCACAAAUCUGAAGAACAAUAAGAUAGUUUCACUAACUUUAAGAGAGUUUGGCUAUACUCUUAUAGAAAGCUUAGUAAGUACUC
rnacentral:lncRNA from 1 species